GGGCGGCGGUGGGCGGGGCUUUCCUCAGGGACGUUACAACUCGUUGAGGUUGUCGGCGGCGCCAUUUUGAAUUGGCUGAGGGUCGGAGGAGGUGGUUGCUGAGCUGGGCUCCACGUCCCCCGAGAAAACCAGCGAGAAAGGAACGAGGUCCGAAUAUGGCAGCGAAUAGGAACUUGAAGCAAGUGCGGAUCGAGAAUAGCUCCCCAGCGGCGCCGCUGGGUAUGGUGGGGGGUGGUGGCGGCAACCUGAAGGGAUUGCGGGGCCUAGAGACGGAGAGCGAGGCAGCGGCGGCCAUGGCGCUAGUGCCGAGCAAGGAAGGUGGAGAUGAAGAGCAGGAGGUUGGCUUCACCAUCGAUAUCAAAAGCUUUCUGAAACCUGGUGAGAAGAGCUACACGCAGCGCUGCCGGCUGUUCGUGGGGAAUCUGCCUACUGAUAUCACCGAGGAAGAUUUCAAGCGCCUCUUCGAGCGCUACGGGGAGCCUAGCGAGGUCUUCAUCAAUCGGGAUCGUGGCUUUGGCUUCAUUCGCCUGGAAUCUAGGACACUGGCUGAAAUAGCAAAGGCAGAACUUGAUGGUACUAUUUUGAAGAGCAGACCACUUCGAAUUCGAUUUGCUACACAUGGAGCUGCCCUAACAGUCAAGAAUCUUUCACCUGUGGUUUCUAAUGAGCUGCUGGAACAAGCAUUCUCUCAGUUUGGUCCAGUGGAAAGAGCUGUUGUUGUAGUAGAUGAUCGUGGCAGAGCUACAGGAAAAGGUUUCGUAGAGUUUGCAGCAAAACCUCCAGCACGGAAAGCUCUAGAAAGAUGCAGUGAUGGGGCAUUCUUGCUAACAACAACACCUCGACCUGUUGUUGUAGAACCAAUGGAGCAAUUUGAUGAUGAAGAUGGACUGCCAGAAAAGCUAAUGCAAAAAACACAACAGUAUCACAAGGAAAGAGAACAGCCUCCACGUUUUGCUCAGCCUGGAACAUUUGAGUUUGAGUAUGCUUCACGGUGGAAGGCUCUUGAUGAGAUGGAAAAGCAACAGCGUGAACAGGUUGACAGGAACAUUAGAGAAGCCAAAGAGAAACUAGAGGCAGAAAUGGAAGCAGCUAGACAUGAGCAUCAGCUAAUGCUGAUGAGGCAAGAUCUCAUGCGACGUCAAGAAGAAUUGAGGCGUUUGGAAGAACUUAGAAAUCAAGAACUUCAAAAACGCAAGCAGAUACAAUUGAGACAUGAAGAAGAACAUCGACGUCGUGAAGAAGAGAUGUUACGCCAAAGGGAACAGGAGGAAUUACGACGACAGCAGGAGGGAGGUUUUAAGCCAAAUUUCAUGGAUAAUAGAGAACAGGAAAUGAGAAUGGGUGAUAUGGGUCCUCGUGGAGCAAUAAACAUGGGAGAUGCGUUUAGCCCAGCACCUGCUGGUAACCAAGGCCCUCCUCCAAUGAUGGGUAUGAAUAUGAACAACAGAGGAACUUUACCUGGCCCUGCAAUGGGUCCUGGUCCUUCCAUGGGACCAGAAGGAGCUGCAAAUAUGGGAACACCAAUGAUGCCAGAUAAUGGAACAGUGGUUACUGUUGAAAUCUUAAAAUGCAGAUGAAGACUGGCUUGUGCAGAAUGCUUCUACUAUCUUAUGCAUACAAAAGGGAGUCCUAAACCAAUUUUUAGUACAAGGUUUUUAAAGACUUGAAGUAUAUGUACACAGCCUCUUGCAGAGAGCUCAAAAUCUGGCCAGUCAUAAUGUCUCAAAUCCAGAAACCAUAGUGCCACAUUAAUACGAUACCAUGUCUGAGCUACUGGAUUAUUGGUACGUUGCACUUGGAAUCCAGCUUGUACGAUCAACUCUCUAGUUUCUGAUACUGACCAGUCCUUGGGAUUAUCCAGUAGGCCUUGCUCUGGAAGGCUGUGUCCGUGUACUUGGUAAAACCUGGGGUAGAGUUCAGCUUGGGUACACACAGGUUUCUGCCAAACCUGCUGGUGGCUGUACCCCCUCGGAAUUGAAGAUGGCUUUCUGCCAUACUGUGAUUAUGUGCAAAACGCUGCUCCUCAAGCUGGAAUUACAAGGACCGUCAGGGGUCUGGCCUGCGAGACUGAAGGGAAUAGGGCUGUUUGAAAUGAUGGGCAGGGGGCCAGCAUGCAGGUGCUGUGUCUCCCACCAGCACCCUGGACUGGAAAAGACACAUCGGAAGAAUCUGAUGUCUGCUUGCAAGGUUUAAGAUGCCUUUUUGUGUACGAGGAGAUGAAUUACAGCUUUCGUGAUGUGACUGUCUUCAGCCUCCAGCAGAAGAGCAUUGUUAAGCAAAGUUGAGCGUUUCAUAGUCAAGCUGAUGUUGGCCAGCUUCGGUGUGUAACUGAGCUCUUGACUCCAUUUUUGCUUAGACUGUACCAGAAGCAGAUUUUCUUUCCAGAAAUACUAGUACCAGGAAGUGGUGUUGAUAAAAGGAUUGGAGUUUGUUGUACAUGCUACAAGAGUAAAUGAUUUAUUAAGAGACUGCUGCUUGGUUAAUGGACUGGACUAAAAGAAAAGCUUUUAGAGUUAAAUGAGUAAGAAAAAAGUAUUUUCAAGCACUGAAGUAUAUUACAAAAAGAUAGGGAAGUGGUAGGGUUUAUAACGAAACAAUAGUGUGGACUGUAUUUUAAGUUGCAGUAGAGCUUACAAGAGCACAGAAGUAUUAGUUCCAUAGAGAAAACGGUACUGUUAUCCCAAACCUGGGUUCUUCACCUGGAGUGCAAGAGCUGAUCUGCACAGUAGAGGUUCAUUGCACGCCUGUGCAGAGAUGGGCGCUAAGCGGUAAAGUCUGCAAAGCUAGCACACCUCUCAACACACUGUAGAAUGUUUUAUACACUUUGAACAAUUGUUUGCAGUUGUGUUUAGUCACACUUGGUUUUCUUUUAUGGGUUCUUACAAGUCUUGUCUCCAUCUACAGGUACAGCAUUCUUUUUUCCAGCCUGCAUGUUCUGUGGGGAGGGGGCUUUGUUAGUAGGGAGUGGAACUUCUAGUAUGCUAAUAAGGAUAGUUCAAACUAUUUUCUGUUUGGUCUUAGUGACCAUUUGGUCCUCCUCGAGCUUACCUUGUUAUGCCCCACCUUGACAUAUUAAUGGUAUGUAUUCCUUUUCCCCAAGGCCUCGUUUUGUUAACUGUAAGGAUCAGCUACAUCCGUUUUUCAAAUUUUGUUGCUUUUCACUAUAGAUAUUUAUAGACUUUUUUAUUUUUUAAAUAAUUCUUCUAUCGGUGUCAGCCUGCAACAGCUGAAAAGGAUUGGAAGGAAAUGUUAAUGAAUGGGGAGAUUAAAGCUGCAGUAAGAUUUCACUGUGCGCAGUAAAUUUUAGUUGGUAAUUAUGAUAAAAAUGCCUGCUGUCUUAAUGUAGCCCAAUAAAAAGGUGACAAACAAAAACCAUAAAUGAAAUCAAUAAUGAAAAAAUAAUUUUGAUGCAAUGAGUUUUUAACAUUGCACUGUAAUGUACCUGCAGGGUUUUUUCAGGGUUUCUUAAUCUACUAUAAAACUCUUCCAAAUUAAUCAGUGACUAACAGGAUAUUUAUUUUCUGUUUCCUGAAAUCAACAACACAGUAAACAAGAACUGAGGGCCUUACAGCAACCUUGCAGAGUUCAGUAAGGGCAAAUGCAAAGUCCUGUAGUGGGUACUGAAUUAACAUGAAUGACUGGUUGUGAAGAAGCUCAUCUGGGACAAGUGAAGACGAAGGUGUCCAGCGACAUUCUGGGCUCCUGAAGCCAAGAGGUAUAUGGGAACAAGGCCAGCAGAAGCCACCAAGGCGAUGGGGAGGUUAGAGACAGGCAGUGGGGGGUGUUCAGUCUGAAAAACAGGAGGUGGGGGGUUGGAAAUCCUACUUGAGCUGUGUGAUGGAAGGGGGUAGAGAAGAUGAAGCCAGGCUCAUCUCAGAGGUGCACAGCCGUGAGGAAGUCUCGUAUAAUUUACAGUGCAAGUGUUGCAUCUUAACGGGUCUUCCCUUGUUUCAGGAAGGGAGGACGCAGGGGCCCCAGUCUGAGGGCUGGCUGGAGGGUGAUGUUCACUUGCGGUUUUAGGGAUCUUGAUCCUGCUGUCUACAGAAAUAAGAACUGUUCCAGUAUAUAGACAGUAUUGCUGACAGAGACAGGAAAGCGAGGGAAGUUUCAAAUGCUUGGCAUCUCCCUACAUGUAGACUUUUCCAGAAGUGGGAGGUCUCAGUCAGCUUUGUAAAGCCUUUUUAAAACAGUAAUAAAUAUGCAUGUAAGCACAGCCUUCACAGGCUGGGGCUCUGGUCAUUACUGUUUGGGGCAGGGAUAGCAGCUUUUCCCUCGUGAUACGGAUGACUGUUCAGUGCAAGACACGCAGCUGCUUCAGCAGGCCUAACGGGGCUGCUCUUCCCCAAAUUCAUACUCUCUACAGAAGCCUGUAUAAGUAACAGCUCCAGGGACCAAGAUUUUUUGUCAGAAAGUGCGGGGCUGUGAUGCAGAUCAAGAUGUCACCACCUGGGUAAUACUGUCCUCCAGCUCUGGUUGAAGACAUUUGAGCUGCUGGCACAACAGGGGCAACAGCCGCACUCGUGGUUUUGGUUGUCUUAAAAGCAGAGCUGCCCCUGCCGUCGUCCUGAGAGCAGCACGGACGUGAGAGGAGCCCGGCAAGGGUAAGGCCUGACCCACCUCCUGUAAUGAGUCAGUGCCAACAGCAACUAACCACAGAGGAGUCCCUUACAGUUCGAGUCAUGUAGGAUGUACUGCAGAAAUUCUUGGGGGGGGGGGAAUCAGUGGUAGCUAUCCUGCAUGACAGCCUUGAAAUCAAAAAAACAUCUUCUGCCUGCUCCUGUCCUCCUGGCUGCUAUAUGUGAGGUGUUGGAGAUUUUAUCUAAGAGCCCCCCUUCUUAACUGUAAUUUUGACUGCUGCAUUCUGUGCUGUCUUUUGUCCGCUUUUAGUAUUUUUUUCCUCUCUCUUUCACUUCAAGAUGGGUUCAGAAGCUGAAAAAUAUUUUCCCCAUUCAUGUGGGACACACAAAAGCCGAGGAAUGUUGGAAGUGUCAGGAUUCAGUGAUGGGCUUGCAGCCCAAAAACACGGCCUAUACAGUUCUUUUGCAUUCUUAAAAGGUAAAACUCCCACUAUACCUCCCGCAUUACAGAGGGAGACUCCAGCAAAACCGAAGGCACAGCUGUAGGAACGCGUCGUGCAAGGACUGGAUUGCCACUACUCCGGAAGACUGACCUAAAGGAAGAAGAUUUUACAGUGGCUCUUUUCCAGCACUAUAUGGGAAGGCAAAGGGUGGUAACAGGCAGAACAUUUCAGGACAGCCCUCGGACACUCUGAGCUGUCCUAGCUGGCAGCUGCACUUCAGUGCUGUCCCUUCCCUGUGCAGAAGGAGCUUUCUUCCAUCCAGACUGAUUAACGCCUCUGUUUAGAAAAACCAGUGCAGAAAGGACAGGGGCCCUACCCUAGCCAGCUCAUCACCCCCUACCCUUCAGUACCUGUGAAAGAAGCCAGGAACGCAAAUACUGACGAUGGAGCAGUGAAAGAAUGCACCCAAGCCUUCGGAACAAUUUAUUGCCAUUGCAGUUUAUCGUAACUGCAGCUGCUUAGCCUUGCUGACAGCAGCAAGAAGAAACCGAGCAAGUACUUCAAAGGUAUUUCCCCACUGUGUCUAAAGAAUUGCUUUUUAUUGUAGCUACUUUCUCUUCAUCCUUUGUCCACCAAAACCUUUUUCUUAGCAACUGGAUAAAAAACAUAU